GCGCCCGUGGUGAAAUGGAUAUCACAGCAGCCUUCGAAGCUGUUUUUGUAGGUUCGAGUCCUGCCGGGCGCA
rnacentral:tRNA from 1 species